rnacentral:rRNA from 1 species
GACGAACGCUGGCGGCGUGCUUAAUACAUGCAAGUCAACUGAAGUUGAGGUAGUAAUACUUCAACGGAGGUGGCGCACGGGUGAGUAACACGUAGGUAAUCUGCCUUUGGGUCUGACAUAAUCCCGCGAAAGCGGGACUAAAAUCAGAUGAUGCAGCGGCUCGACAUCGAGACAGUUGUUAAACCUUCGGGGCCCAAACGAUGAGCCUGCGUCUGAUUAGGUAGUUGGCGGAGUAAAAGACCCACCAAGCCUGCGAUCAGUAGCUGGUCUGAGAGGAUGAUCAGCCACACUGGAACUGAGACACGGUCCAGACUCCUACGGGAGGCAGCAGUAAUGAAUAUUGCUCAAUGGCCGAAAGGCUGAAGCAGCAACGCCGCGUGGAGGAUGAAAUACUUUUGUAUGUAAACUCCUGUAAGAGGGGAAAAUGUACAGUUAAUACUGUGUUGAUUGUACCCUCAGAGUAAGCACCGGCUAACUACGUGCCA